AAGUAGACGCAAUUAAACAUGAAGGAUUGUGAAGGCAAAAGAUGAACCAGCCAGCCUAGUCUCUGGAUGCAUAAGCUCCAAGUGUGGAGGAGACCCGGAGAGAAAAGCAGACUGUUCUCUGUGUUUACCUGUAAGCACAGGCCGCAACCUGCCAUGCUGUUUUUAAAUGCCCAAGAGCUGGUGACAAGAGGGUUUCCCUUUGCCAUCUGGACCUGAUUGCCUUAGAGCAUCCUACCCAGCUUCUAAUCUAAGCUCAAACACACCCUCCUUCAGGAAGAUUUGCUGUUCUACCUUCUCCCCACCAAGCAGAGUGAAGGGAUUCUUCUUUGGAACUCCCACUCUCCUUUAUUUAUCUCCAGAUGGAUGAAAAAGGAAGAGGGUUUCUGUUUUGCUAAAAGCCCUCUGUGAAAGUCGACAUUGCAAACCACAGUGACACGUGGAUAAAACUCACGUUGUUGGGGGGAGAAGAGCAAAACAUAUGCUUCACAAUAAAAACACUCAGUAUCCUAGGAAUAGGAGGGAACUUCCUCAACCAGAUAAAGGGCAUCUAUGAAAAACCCAGAGCUAACAUCACACUUAAUCGUGAAAGACUGAAAGCUUUCCCUCUAAAAUCAGAAACAAGAAAAGGAUGUCUACUACUGCCACUGCUAUUCAACAUUGUUCUGGAAAAUUCUAGGCAGAACAAGUAGGCAAGAGAAAAGAAGAGGUAUCCAGAUUGGAAAGGAAGAAAUAAAACUGUCUCUGUUUGACAGUUGUCAUAACCUUGUACAUAGAAGAUUAUGAAGAAGCUACCAAAAACUAUUUGAAUGACUAAACAAGUUUAGUAUGGUUGCAGGAUACAAGAUCAAUAUGCAAAAACCAGCUGUAGUUCUUCUAUAUGUUGAAAAGAAGAAAAUUUAGAACGAAAUUAAGAAAAAUUCAUUCACAAGAGCAUCAAAAAGGAUAAAAAAUAAGGCCAGGCAUGGUGGCUCAUGCCAGUUAAUCCCAGCACUAUGGGAGGCUGAGGAAGGAGGAUCACUCAAGCCCAGGAGUUUGAGACCACCUGAGCAACACGGCAAGACUCUAUCUCUACCAAAAAUUUUAAAAAAUUAGCCAGGUGUAGUGGCCAUGCCUGCAGUCCUAGUUACUCAGGAGGUUGAGGUGGGAGGAUCACUUGAACUCAGGAGAUUGAGGCUGCAGUGAGCUAUGAUCUGGCCACUGUACUCCAGCCUGGGUGUCAGAGAGAGAGACCCUGUCUCUAAAUGAAAAUAAAUAAAUACAUAAAAUUUUAAAAAAGAAUGAAAUACUUAGGAAUACAUUUAACCAAAGAAGUAUGAGGCUUUUUACAUUGCAAAACUAUAUAACAUUGUUGAAAGAAACUAAAGAAGACCUAAAUAAAUGGAAAGACAUCCCAUGUUUAUAGAUGGAAAAGUUUAAUAUUAAGAUAGCAAAACUUCUCAAAUUGAUCUACAGAUUCAAUGCCAUCCUUUCAAAAUACCAGCUAACUUUUUUGCAGAAGUUAACAAACCAAUCCUAAAAUUCAUAUGGAAAUUCAAGAGAAUCAGAGCAGUUAACCUUCAAAAAGAACAAAGUUGGAGGGUUCAUACUUCCUGAGUACUAAAACUUAGUACAAAGCUAUAGUAAUCAGAUACUAUGAAAUUGACAUAAGGACAGACAUAUAGAUCACUUGACUAGGCUUGACAGUCCAGAAAUAAACCUUCACAUUUCUGAUCAAUUGAUUUUCUACGAGGCAGCCAACACAAUUCUGUUUUAAAUAUGGUGGUAGGACAACGGAGUAGCUACAUUCAAAAGAAUGAAGUGAGACCCUUAACUCACACCAUAAACAAAAACUAAUUCAAAAUGGAUCAAAGACCUAAAUGCAAGCAUUAAAACUAUAAAACUCUUAGAAGAAAACAUAGGAGGAAAUCUUCAUGACCUUGGAUUAGUCAAUGGAUUCUAAGAUAUGAUACCCAAAGCAUAAGCAACAAAAGAAAAAAUAGAAAAAUUGGACUUUAUUUUUUUAAGAGAUGGGGUCUUGUUAUGUUGCCCAGGCUGGACUUGAAAUCCUAGGCUCAAGUGAUCCUCCUACCUCAGCCUCCUGAGUUGCUGGGACUACAAACAUGUACCGCCAUGCCCAGCUAAAUUGGACUUUAAAAUGGAAAACUUUUGUGCUUCAAAGACGUCAAAAAAGUGAAGACAACCCACAGAAUGAGAGAAAAUUUUCACAAAUUGUAUAUCUGAUAAGAGACUUGUGCCUAGAAUCUAUAAAGAAUGAUUACCACUCAAUAAUAAAAAGACAAAUAACCCCAUUAAAAACAGGCAAAGGAUCUGAAUAGACGUUUCUCCAAAGAAGAUAAAUAAAUGGCCGAUAAACACUUGAAAAGAUGCUCAACAUCAUUUGCCAUCAGGGAAAAGCAAAUCAAAACCAUGAUGAGAUGAUGAGAUACCACUUCACACCCACUAGGGUGGCUAUAAUAAAAAAGACAGAUCGUAAUAACUGUUGGCAAGGAGGUAGUGAAAUUCGAACCAUCAUCACACAUUGCUGGUGGGAAUGUAAAGUAGCACAGAGCUUUGAAAAACUGUUUGGCAGUUUCUCAAAAACUUAGAGUUACCAUAUGACUCAGCAACUUCCCUCGUAGGUAUAUAGAAGAGAAAUGAAAACAUAUGUCCACACAAAAACUUGUACAUGAAUGUUCAUAGCCGUAUUAUUCAUAAUAGCCAAAAGUGGAAAUCACCCAAAUGGUAAACUGAUGAGUGAAUAAAUAAAAUGUGCUUUAUACAUAUGAUGAAACAUUCUUUGUCAAUAAUGAAGAACUGAUCCCUGCCGCAACAUGGGGGAACUUAAAAGCAUGAUGUUAAGUGAAGGAAGUCAGAUUCAAAGGUCCAUGAUUCCAUUAUAAAUGGCAUUCCAUCUGUGGAAUUCCAUAUAUGGAACGUCUAGAAUAGGAACACUUCCUUUCUAUAGAGACAGAAAGGAAAUUAGGAGUUGCCAAGAGAGGAUGGGGAGACUGGUGGGUGAUGGCUGAGAAGGUGGCCGUGUUUCUUUUUGGGGUAACGAAAGUGUUCUGAAAUUGAUUGUAGUGAUGGCAGUACAACUCUGAAUUUACUGAAAGCCAUUGACUUGUACAUUUUAAAUUGGUGACUUGUACGGUGUACGAAUUACAUCUCAAUAAAGCUGGUUUUCUUUUCUUUGUUUCUUUAUUUUAAUAGACAGGGUCUCACUCUGUUGCCCAGGCCGGAGUGCAGUGGUGCGAUCAUAGCUCACUGCAGCCUUGAACUCUUGAGCUCAAGCAAUCCCCCCACCUCAGCCUCCCAAGUAGCUGAGACUAUAGGCAUUUGCCACCAUACCCAGCUAAUUUUGUUUAUUUUUUGUAGAGAUGAGGUCUUGCUAUGUUGCCCAGGCUGGUCUUGAACUCCUUGGCUCAAGUAAUCCUCUUGCCUUGGCCUUCCAAAUUGCUGGAAUUACAGGCAUGAGCCACCACACCC
rnacentral:lncRNA from 1 species